rnacentral:misc_RNA from 1 species
AGAGUCGUGCAGCCCGUCUUACGCUGUUUCUUCUACAAUCCGAUAUUGCCUGCAGAUCGUACGUCUCUGUCACUACCCGAAUCCGUACCAGAAUCAUCCCUGAGGUACAUACUGCACAGCGGGAGCGCUCAAAGCCCCUUUGUCUUGGCACGUAUUUCGAAAUUUGCCGGUGCUCUGGCUUCCGACGCUUUCCGUUGGCCUCCUUUCCAUCCUUCCCUCACGCGGUGUGACGCAUUUUUCGCUCUUCGCCCUCCCCCGCCGCCUCUCUUGUGCCGGUACUGUACACUGCCGACCACCUCAUCACGCGUGUAUGCUCCCCCCUCUCCUCGGUUCUCUUGCGUUUUUUUUGUUGUUCUUUCCGUUUCGCUGUUCUGUCUCGUUAGUCGGCUGCUCGCACGUCUACACGACACCUCAAACUCAUCUUCGUUAGCCACCACUUUCAUAAGUUCGUCUCACACGAACGCGGUGAGCUCGGCUCCGCGUAUACGUCAGACGCUGCGUACGUGUGCUGUGGUUUCGUGCGAACUUGCCAGCGGGGAAGCCGCAGAGCGUUGUGUGUUGUCAGCCACAACGUUGCCCGAGUAGGACUAGGGAGGAGACGCGCUCUUGGGACUUCCUCUUUUCGCCUGUCUUCUCACUCACAUCGAAAAGAACUUCCGAUCGUCGUGUGGUGUCGUUCAACGGCUUUGACGUGGUCACUGUGGUGGCACCGAGUGCGCUUGGAGGCCGGUACGUACAUCGUGUCGCUCACAAUGACGGAGAGCCGGUGGAUCACGGAGGCCCUCGUGCAGUUUUCCGCGUCGCCGAUAUGGCUGACGCCGAUCGACAACUUUGUCGACGAUAACUGCUGCAUCUUCAGUAACGAGUCAGAGAUGCAGUUGGAGUACACGGUGGUGCACAACAAAUUCAAGAAGCUCAUCGACUCCUUGCUGACGUGCUUCUUGAUGGAGCUGGGGGUGUCGAUGGAGACGGCCGUGGAGGCCCUGCAGAGCUCCCUCGUGGUGAGUGCGCAGACGUCCGAGGGCCGGUCCGAGCAACAAGCUGCGAAGAAAUUGCUGAAGCAGAUCUUUAAUGCGGACAACUUCUCGCGCUUUCACACCAUGAUGGUGAAGCGCAACUUGGAGCUUGACAUUCUGGCAAACGCCGCUCUCUCUUCAGAUAAGGUAUGCGGGGACGGCGGUGCAGCGCUGUCAGCGGAGGAAGUCGAGAAGGAAACCCCGGCCCCGGCUCGCGUGCAGCGCGCCAUAGACCUCAACGGCGACGUAAACGAGGACGAUGCGCUGCGACGCGCCAUCGAAGUGUCGUUGCAGGAUGACCAUGCACAGCAGCAAGUACAGGCGUACAAGAAGGCUUGCAUACAGGAGGAUGCAGAUCUACAAAUGGCUGCUGUCGAACACCAAGCAAACCGUGAGAAGGCGCAGCUGGAGGCUGCCCUGCAGACGCAGCCCGCUCAGAAGCUCUCCGAAGGCGAGCACUGCCGACAGAAUCACGUCGAAUCCAUUAACAAGCAGAAGAAAUCGCAACUUCAGCCGAUUCAUGACCUCGCAAUGCCGGGGACGGGGCAGAAGGGGUGCGAGGAGGCCGAGCCGCAGAAGGCGGAUUUCAAUUCACCUGAGUCGCCUUUUCCUCUUCCGGCGCAGCAAGUUGCCGCUGCGCCGGCGUCGGUGGCCGCUGCGGAGUCCGCACCUGUGGCCGCGCCGGUCAGCGUACCUGCGUUGCCCUCCAUUGGUCAGCGCCAGGCUGCCUUGCCUGCUAUUCCGUCCACAGUGACUGCAAGCGUCUCUAAAUCGACUCCCAGCGCACCGGCGCAUCCGGCACACGGUACCGCCGUCUCAGCAACGCCGGCGCCGGCACCGGCACCCACAAACGAGGAGCUUGAAAAGCGUGCCCAGUACAUGCGAGAGCAGCGUGAAAAGCUCCUUGCCCGCAACCGUGCCUCGCGUCAAGAGCAGCUCAGCACGUUCCUGCAAAACAACAGCUCUUCGACGGCCACGUCGUCUUCCGCAGCAUUGGCAGCCACCGGCGCCGCGCAAUCAGUGACCGUCGAAAUCGCUCGCCGGCUGCGCGGUGACCUCAUAGGUGAAGCGCGGAAGAGCAGUGGUUGAUGCGCUCUCUUGCUCCUCUCCUCGCCGCCGGUUUGUCGUCAUACGGUGUGAUAGUUCUGCAUGUUGUUCUUAUCCCAUUGCUUCGCUCGGACCCUAUCUACGGUGUUGAGGGGCGGGGGAGAAGUUGUGGAGUGGAGGGGGUACGGGCAAGCCAGUAUCUGUUGUAUCCCUGUUUUUUUUUUCGUUCGCGCCCGGAGUCCCGUGCAGGAUGCAGCACACUUCGAUAAGUUCUGCUGGCUGUUGAGGGUGCAGCGUCAGAGCGCGGAGGGCGAUCAGUAGCACCCCUUUGUGCUCUCUGCCUUUUCCUUAGAGCUCGCAUCGGGUCACUGAAGAAGAAUGCGGGCCAUGGCGUUGACGCGCUCUCUGUUUCCUGCACUGCGCGCGCGAGCCGACGCUCCCCACCAUCGUUUUUGCCCCUGGCCCGUUUCUCACCCUCCCCCCAUCCCUUUCCCGCCUCCACCGUCUCUGCGGCCCUUUCUCUGGAAACAUGUAGCUUCGGCAUUUGGUUUUCACCGAUCACGUGCCGUGAUGUGGUCCACUGAUAUGCUUCCUUUUUUCUUCUGUUUUUCCUUUUUGUUUGAGUUCUCCCUCAUGGUACUUACCGGUGUCCCCUCCUGCCCAUAUGUGUUUGUUUGAUUCUGGUGUUGGCGAUGCGGCUUCUCUUUUUCUUCUCGCCCCCGCGCUUGUGGGUCCAUUUCCGGACUCGCAUGCUUUCCGCUGCCCCCCCCCCUCCCUCCCUCCCUCCCUUGGCUGUACCACCCGCAUUGAGUGACCUGCUUUGACAAUGACCUAAUAACAUCGCAAUAGUGAAGGAGGGCGACUUUUUUUUCUAUCGUUUCGCUUGUGAGACAGAGGCGGAGAGGAGAGAAGGGAGAGGAGGGGGAGGAUGUAUAUUCUUCUUUUGGAAACGUAAGCAGAGAAAGGGAUCAGAAGGGCGUGUCGUGUCUCGCUCCCCACGACGCGUGUGCUCCGACUUACACUGUCUGUCUGUGACGUGGGAGUAAUCGUGACGACGACACUCUUGUCAUUCUCUCUUUGUUCCCCUUUUGUAUGCUUCCCCCUUUUUUCUUUUUUUCGCUGUUGUUUUUGUUUUGCUUUUAGCGCCCGUGACGCCCUUUGCUUUCGCAAUGGCCAUUUACCUUUCCGUGGAGGAGAGGAGGGGCGGGGGAAGGAGUGCUGUGGUUGUAGACACCGUCCUGUGGCGCAAUUCAGCGUUUCUCCGUAUGCCUCUU